rnacentral:lncRNA from 1 species
GAAAAUUAAACAGUUAUCAAGGUUAAUUUCAAGGGUCUAUACAGAAUUAAAAUCAUGUAAGACUAAUUAAUGCCUGGUAAAGUACAGAUGUUUCUGAUCAAGAGCUUCUCCAAAAAUCAUAUAAUUUUCCAUUUUUUGGGUGGCAAUUAAAAAACAUUACUGAUUUGUAAAAUAUAUGGAUAUAUAGUUACUGGAGUUUAUAUAUCUGCAUGUAAGAAAUGAUUGAAUAUAAUAGCUUCCGCUGUUGUUGGAUGAAGAACUUACUCCCAUGGGACAUCACCCACGAGCAUCCAGUCACCAUCCUUAUCUUCAUAGGUUGGCACAUACUCGGAGCUGUUAAGAAGAUCCAUCAACUUGCGCUCAUUCAUGAAGUCUAUCAUUCCUUGGGCCCCAUAAUUACCUUCACCAGUUCCAACAUAAAAACAUAAGUAAAUAGCAUGAAAAUAUUUUGAUAUUAAACUAUUUUAUGGUUAAUCACAGGUAAGAACCUGCAAUCUUAUAUCUGAAUGUAACAUGCAUCAAGGAUUUAAAACUUUAUAUCAUAUAUAAUAAACAGUAUUCCUUUUACGUCCCUUGUUCUAUUUCUUUUCUAGUGUUACAUCCAUAUAAAAUAAUGAGGUUUCGACACACUUGCACAAGUGGGUUGGAGAAGAAAGAAAUAAAUAAGAGAAAAGAGAAGUCCGUGUAAUGAAAAAGAUUGAGAAGAAAGAAUUUAGUGUAAAAUAGGUGCAGAGAAUAGAUGGUAAAAACUAAGCUGCUGUAGAUGUUUAGUUGGUAUUUUGUGUGUGUGUGUUUGUGCAUGACUCUCUUGCAUAUUAUCAAUAUAUAAUUUGAGUCACAUGGUUGUGGUAAAAGUGGUUUAAAUAGAGAGGGAAAUAUAAUGGAAAAAUAUGGAUCACAUGUAGUAGGUUUUAUUGUAGUGCUAACCCAUGGUGAAGGAGCUGAACAUUUUGGCCAAGGCAUCAGAUAAGUCUUUGUAGCUUUUGUACAUUGUGAGGUCCACCUUGCGAAGGUAAGGUGCUCCAUCCAUGGAAACUUUGACAAAUGCCCCAGAAGCAGUGCUGCUUGUUGUCUUCUCAGCUCCAUCCUCAGUGCUAACCUUCUGGGUCAUCAUGUUCUUUCUGUAUGACCUCACUGGUGGCCAACCAACUACUUGAGCUCUGAAACAUAUAUAUCAUUCCAAAUCCCAUCAAUCUUACACAUCUUUCUCAUAUCUCCCUCUUCUUAUACAAGAAGUUGGAAAAUUUCAUACCUUAUGCAAACACUAACAUCGAAUAAACUUUAAGAAAAAUAUGUAUAGGUAGUUACCAGAAAAAAUAAUAAACACUAAGAAGUUGCUUAUAUAUAUAUCAACUUGUAGUUCGUUCAUUAGAACUAUUAGUUUUUAGUAAAUGUGAAAAAUCAGGUUAUAUGGAACCCAACAAGACAUAUAUAUAUAUAUAUAUAUAUAUAUAUAUAUAUAUAUAUAUAUGAUGCUAAACUGCUAAACGAUGAAGAAAGAAAAGAUUUGAGAACAGAAGCAUGCAAAAACCUUUAGCUACAAAAGAAAAGGGGGGAAAUGGCUUACUUAGCAGGUUGCUUGGUAGGAUCCUUAAGGAGAGUCUUCUCCUCUGGGGCAUUCUUCAGAUUCUCGUUGAGAUCUUCCUUGGCCUGAAGAUUAAGCUUCAGAUCAACUGUCUCAGAGAACCCUCUCUUCCCAGUAGCCCUUGGUGUUUCCACCUCAGAGCCGCCGCC